rnacentral:rRNA from 1 species
UACGUAGGGUGCAAGCGUUAAUCGGAAUUACUGGGCGUAAAGCGUGCGCAGGCGGCUUUGCAAGACAGAUGUGAAAUCCCCGGGCUUAACCUGGGAACUGCAUUUGUGACUGCAUGGCUGGAGUGCGGCAGAGGGGAUGGAAUUCCGCGUGUAGCAGUGGAAUGCGUAGAUAUGCGGAGGAACACCGAUGGCGAAGGCAAUCCCCGUGGGCCGCACUGACGCUCAUGCACGAAGCGUGGGAGCAACAGG